rnacentral:rRNA from 1 species
GCGAACGCUGGCGGCAGGCCUAAUACAUGCAAGUCGAGCGGUCCCUUCGGGGGCAGCGGCGGACGGGUGAGUAACGCGUGGGAACGUGCCCUUUGGUACGGAACAACUGAGGGAAACUUCAGCUAAUACCGUAUGUGCCCUUCGGGGGAAAGAUUUAUCGCCAUUGGAGCGGCCCGCGUUAGAUUGGCUAGUUGGUAGGGUAAUGGCCUACCAAGGCGACGAUCUAUAGCUGGUCUGAGAGGAUGAUCAGCCACACUGGGACUGAGACACGGCCCAGACUCCUACGGGAGGCAGCAGUAGGGAAUCUUGCGCAAUGGGCGAAAGCCUGACGCAGCCAUGCCGCGUGAAUGAUGAAGGUCUUAGGAUUGUAAAAUUCUUUCACCGGGGACGAUAAUGACGGUACCCGGAGAAGAAGCCCCGGCUAACUUCGUGCCAGCCGCCGCAGUAA